AACUUUCCUCGAAAAAUCUCGACGUCACAAACAAUUCCCCUUUUUCAAUUUCCCUCAAGUCGUUCCCAAAUGGAUCUCCUCUCCUCCCUUGCUGUUCCAAGAUUCAAGUUUCAUUCACAAGUACCUUUUAUUUCCCCCAACGUUCGUCACGUCCACACAAGCGACGAUGCACUACUAUAUCGGAUAUAGUAGUCCUUGGUAAUCUUAUCGCGGCGACUUUGCACCGGGGAAAGCUGGCCCAUUCAAUUUCCUUCUCCUCUUGGUUCACGUCUCUUCACCGAGUCUCUGAUACCAGAGAGAGAGAGAGAGAGAGAGAGGGAAGACAAGACGACAUUCGACGCGUCCCGAUUGAAAUUAACGUCACGUUCACGGUACACGUUCUUUUGCACCCUUGUCGCAAGAGCGGACGUUGCCUGUACGAGUUUACUGUUUUAUCAAAAAUUCAAAGACCACGCUGUGUGAUCAUCGUCUCUUCUCGUAGAACCGCGCAGGUAAAGUAACCGGAAUUUCCUGCUCAUCAACGUUUUCUUCAUCUUUUCUUUUUUUUUUUUUCUUUUUUUUUUUAUUCCUUUCUCGGGCGGUAAUGCACAAUAAUGAGCGCCGGUUCGUCUUGCGGUGGAUGCGCGAUGUGGUAGUGCAAGGUUUGGGUCGCGGGUGUUUGAUCUUG